CGAGAACAGGUCCAAGUCAUACAGCUUCAACAGUCCUGACGGCAGCGGCAACAUAGACGGCUUAGGCAGCUCCAGCAAUCCAGAGCUCGAGAGGAGGAAAAGGGUUGCAGCUUACAACAUGUAUGCCGUGGAAGGCACUCACCAUUGGAAGAUAUUUCUCGUAACCUACGAAAGCGCCGCAAGAGCCUAACCGAAUCCGUACGGCAUCCAAAGCAAGAUUCUUUUCAGUAAUGAAUCCCAAAUAUCCGCUCUAAAUACUGCUGACUGCAUUCAACAGAGUUGCCGUCGGAUCGGUUUUGGCCAUCGUUAAUCUUAAAAUGAGACCCAGUUUCGUACCCUGUGCUACUAAUAUUGUUGAUCGCUUCCAUCCCUCUUGCAAGGAUCACAGGCUUAUAAGGCUCAACAAGGGUGGGCUCUCCGGUCAAUCGAACUCGAUUAUCCUCGUGCGCUAAUCUUGCUUUGGUUGUCCUAAUCGGCACAUAUUUAAGCUCCUGUUCGAACAAAACUGCUCCUCUGGUGUAAUUCGCCCGGUCUAUUGCUGGCAAAUGCAUUUGCGUGGCGAUCGAAUGCGAUAUAGUUGCUUUGGGAAUGAAUUUAUAAUACAUAUCUUCAACAUAUUCGAGUCAGUGAUUUUCUGCCACGGUGAUGUUCUAACAGAAGAAUGACUUACCCUAUUAUUUUUCAGAGAAUUAUAUGCAUGUGAUUCAGUUCAUGACAAGAGUUAGAGAAAUAUUAUAUAUUUGUAAAGUUUAAACUUAUUCAAUACAAAAAAUACAGUUUAUUCUUCACAUACAAUACAGUUAUUCUGGGUUUAAUAGACUGCUGUUCCUCUUCUUCACUGAAAACCUGGACCGUCUAUGGCAUCCCACGCAACAGAGGUUACUUAUGUGGCAUCUCGGGUGCCGUUGAUGUGCUGAUUGUGAUGGGCACUGAACAUAUUAGGGAGGAUUAUCCUUGAUGGCCUUAUCUUUGUCGAAUUCAUAGAGUUUUGCUAUCUUUUCCAGAUCUAGACUUCGGAAAUCGAUUGAAGAAAGAGACCUCCGAUAAUGAGGCAGUAUUUUGCCUUCAUUCGGGUUGAUGAUAUCCCUUAUGUAGGCCUGCAAGAGUGUAGGGUUCUUGAUGUUCUUGAGAGCAUUGGGAUGAAACUCAGUUGUUGGUGCCCCUCUUUUGAUCAGAACGACCAGCUGGGGAUAAGGAUGCAUCCGAGCUUAUGUCAUUCCGAGUUGUUGUGACGCUAGAGGAGGCGCUGCUUCCACUGUAACCCAUUUCUUGGCUCUGCAUGUGUGCCUCUGCUUUCUUCCCCUGCAAUGAGUUUUAAGGAAAACAUAAAGAAGAAAGAAGAAACUCAUUUAUAUGCAGCGGCAUGUGCUCGGUACGCCAUUGAAAGAAGAAGAGGUAGUUCAAGUGGAUUCAAACUAUUCUUCAUGUUGUUUAUCUUAGAUUUUUCAUUUUGAUUGAUGUAAUGCCUUAGUAGUUUUUCAUGUAAAUGGUUAACCUAUGAAAUCAUUUAAUAUGCGACAGAAUUAUUGGUAUGAUUAGAGAUAAACAAUUAAUGAUGAAUAUUUCUCAUA